CUUACCCUACAAAAGGAAAUGUUAUUUAGUUCAAAUAUGAUUGACAAGUCCCAACUAACUAAUGUACUAAACUUAUGGUGUGAAUGUCAUUUUUUUAUAUACAGGUUAAAAUUUAUGACUCCAUAGUUGUAGAAACAUAAGGUGGCAGUCCUGCAAGAUUAAGAGGGUAACAUGGCAAUCUUGCUGGAUCAGGAGGUGGUGUCACUAGGGUACAAAUACAAUCGGCUAAUGUCUUUCAAUUCGCUAUCGGAACCUGGUAUUAGAAAAGCAUUGGAGCACUUAUGAGUUUUCAUUUCUCUUCACUGUCCGCUGAUGGUUGUCAUCCCUAACCAGACUCACAUUAGCUAGUUUUUUUAGAACUUUAUUAUUCGUGUUGUAAAAGAAUUAUGUAAUGUGGAUCUGUAUGAAAUUAUUCUUUUUCUUGUAAAAAAUAUCGUAUGUUUUGAGUAUAACAACAUUUUAGUAUUCUACUUUAUCUUGAAUGA